rnacentral:lncRNA from 1 species
UUCAAAGAACUUCUCCAGCCUUGGAAAUCAGCUUCUCUGAAUGCAGGAUCUUUCACCUGUUGCCCCAUGAAAUACCCAAGAUUACGUCUCAUUUCAAAAAAAGGUGGUUUAACAAGCCUCCAGACACUGGAGCCAGGAGUCUGGCCUUGCUACAUCUUCUGCCAGAGAACUGAGAACCACUUGCCUGUCCGCCAGCUGAGCUGCUGAAGAGCCUACUUUGCAACUCAAUCCAGCUGAAACAAGCAACAGAACUCAGCCAAACAAAGGGAUGGGUCCUUGGGUUCUCCCCCCCACCCCCCUUAUGUUCAGUGUCGUACAUUAAAAUUUGAACCUUGAUCAGA